UUCAAUUCUACAGCACAAAAUUGUCUCAGCAUAAAACAGUCUACCGCAUGCUUCUUAAGACCACAAAAUGAAU